rnacentral:rRNA from 1 species
CCUACGGGUGGCAGCAGUGAGGAAUAUUGGUCAAUGGCCGGAAGGCUGAACCAGCCAUGCCGCGUGAAGGUCAGUGCCCUAUGGGCGUUAAACUUCUUUGGUGCGGGAGCAAUAAUGGUCACGUGUGGCCAGACGAGAGUACCGUACGACUAAGCAUCGGCUAACUCCGUGCAAGCAGCCGCGGUAAUACGGGGGAUGCAAGCGUUAUCCGGAGUUAUUGGUUUUAAAGGGUGCGUAGGCUGUGAGUUAAGUCAGCGGUGAAAUGCCCCCGCUCAAAGGGGUGAAGUGCCAUUGAAACUGCCUUGCUGGAAUGCGGAUGCCGUGGGAGGAAUGUGUGGUGUAGCGGUGAAAUGCAUAGAUAUCACACAGAACACCGAUUGCGAAGGCAUCUCACGAAUCCGCGAUUGACGCUGAUGCACGAAAGCGUGGGUAUCAAACAGGAUUAGAUACCCUAGUAGUC